rnacentral:rRNA from 1 species
AGCACCGGCUAACUACGUGCCAGCAGCCGCGGUAAUACGUAGGGUGCAAGCGUUAUCCGGAAUUAUUGGGCGUAAAGGGCUCGUAGGCGGUUCGUCGCGUCCGGUGUGAAAGUCCAUCGCUUAACGGUGGAUCCGCGCCGGGUACGGGCGGGCUUGAGUGCGGUAGGGGAGACUGGAAUUCCCGGUGUAACGGUGGAAUGUGUAGAUAUCGGGAAGAACACCAAUGGCGAAGGCAGGUCUCUGGGCCGUUACUGACGCUGAGGAGCGAAAGCGUGGGGAGCGAACAGGAUUAGAUACCCUGGUAGUCCACGCCGUAAACGGUGGAUGCUGGAUGUGGGGCCCGUUCCACGGGUUCCGUGUCGGAGCUAACGCGUUAAGCAUCCCGCCUGGGGAGUACGGCCGCAAGGCUAAAACUCAAAGAAAUUGACGGGGGCCCGCACAAGCGGCGGAGCAUGCGGAUUAAUUCGAUGCAACGCGAAGAACCUUACCAAGGCUUGACAUGCACGGCGGCACUGCAGAGAUAUGGUGGCAUUUAGUUGGUCGUGUGCAGGUGGUGCAUGGUUGUCGUCAGCUCGUGUCGUGAGAUGUUGGGUUAAGUCCCGCAACGAGCGCAACCCUCGCCCCGUGUUGCCAGCGGAUUAUGCCGGGAACUCACGGGGGACCGCCGGGGUUAACUCGGAGGAAGGUGGGGAUGACGUCAGAUCAUCAUGCCCCUUACGUCCAGGGCUUCACGCAUGCUACAAUGGCCGGUACAACGGGAUGCGACGCGGCGACGCGGAGCGGAUCCCUGAAAACCGGUCUCAGUUCGGAUCGCAGUCUGCAACUCGACUGCGUGAAGGCGGAGUCGCUAGUAAUCGCGAAUCAGCAACGUCGCGGUGAAUGCGUUCCCGGGCCUUGUACACACCGCCCGUCAAGUCAUGAAAGUGGGCAGCACCCGAAGCCGGUGGCCUAACCCCUUGUGGGAUGGAGCCGUCUAAGGUGAGGCUCGUGAUUGGGACUAAGUCGUAACAAGGUAGCCGUACCGGAAGGUGCGGCUG